GGCUCUUCUAAAGAUAGAGUUCACAGCUAGUUAAUUUGCUCACAGUCAGUUACAGGUCAAACUCCUUGUUCUACUCCUUUCCAAACCCUUCUCAGUACUACACUUGACCAGUCUUAA
rnacentral:Y_RNA from 1 species